rnacentral:rRNA from 1 species
GAGUUUGAUCAUGGCUCAGAUUGAACGCUGGCGGCAUGCCUUACACAUGCAAGUCGAACGGCAGCAUGAUCUAGCUUGCUAGAUUGAUGGCGAGUGGCGAACGGGUGAGUAAUACAUCGGAACGUGCCCUGUAGUGGGGAUAACUAGUCGAAAGAUUAGCUAAUACCGCAUACGACCUGAGGGUGAAAGUGGGGGACCGCAAGGCCUCAGGCUAUAGGAGCGGCCGAUGUCUGAUUAGCUAGUUGGUGGGGUAAAGGCCCACCAAGGCGACGAUCAGUAGCUGGUCUGAGAGGACGAUCAGCCACACUGGGACUGAGACACGGCCCAGACUCCUACGGGAGGCAGCAGUGGGGAAUUUUGGACAAUGGGCGAAAGCCUGAUCCAGCAAUGCCGCGUGUGUGAAGAAGGCCU